rnacentral:lncRNA from 1 species
CGCCACCCACACUGCGCACCGGGGGCAGAUGCGAGCUGUGGGCUGGGGCACUGAAAUACGGAAGGUCGAAGCUGUUGGAAAACUGGCCAGAAUCUCAUCCACGGAUUGGGAUUCUCCCUGGAAGAGGGAGAAUGUAGCGCCACACAGCGCGCCCAGCCCUUCAGGCUCUGGACUCAGUGCAGUGGAGCUCCCAGGAAGUCACUAAGGCCGCGUCCUCCUCCUGCGCUUCCAUUGCGGAUCAGCUGAGAUAACCCAAUACCCACCUCUGACUCUUUCAAUCAAUGGCUUCAAUAUCUCAUUAUUUUGAGCUGGUAUUUUCUUGUGGUCAAGUACAACGAGGUAUUAUCUAUCUAUUGCCAAUUAUUUCUGAAUCGGAUCCUACUUAAAAUUGUUCUUUU